rnacentral:sRNA from 1 species
CCUAUCUUGCGGGGCUAAAGGCGCUGGUAGAAGUUCUGACCACCCUAGGAAUCACCGAAACAGCACUGCAGCGGAGCACGCUCGAUCUGAUCAGCUUACACGAGGAUCUUAUGGCUAAGUUGGAGGGCAUGAUGCCUAGGUCAGACAGGGUCAUAACCCCGAUAUGGAUGACUGCGCGACGGCAUAUUAAGUUUGGCAACAUGGAUGCUGGCCUGACGAGAGCAAAUCGAAAGUCAGUGACGACGAGAAAGCUUCGUGAACCUAUCGAUUCCCGGAUUAAAUCCUCCAAAUCGGUGGCAGCAGAACCAAAUGAGGCUGCUGCGGUCGCUAAGAUAAUGCAAUCAAUGCUUCCGAAAUUUAAAGUUUACGAGGACUACGGCGUCAAAUACCAACUCGUAACCA